rnacentral:rRNA from 1 species
GACGAACGCUGGCGGCGUGCCUAAUACAUGCAAGUCGAACGCUUCUUUCCUCCCGAGUGCUUGCACUCGAUUGGAAAGAGGAGUGGCGGACGGGUGAGUAACACGUGGGUAACCUACCAUCAGAGGGGGAUAACACUUGGAAACAGGUGCUAAUACCGCAUAACAGUUUAUGCCGCAUGGCAUAAGAGUGAAAGGCGCUUUCGGGUGUCGCUGAUGGAUGGACCCGCGGUGCAUUAGCUAGUUGGUGAGGUAACGGCUCACCAAGGCCACGAUGCAUAGCCAACCUGAGAGGGUGAUCGGCCACACUGGGACUGAGACACGGCCCAGACUCCUACGGGAGGCAGCAGUAGGGAAUCUUCGGCAAUGGACGAAAGUCUGACCGAGCAACGCCGCGUGAGUGAGGAAGGUUUUCGGAUCGUAAAACUCUGUUGUUAGAGAAGAACAAGGACGUUAGUAACUGAACGUCCCCUGACGGUAUCUAACCAGAAAGCCACGGCUAACUACGUGCCAGCAGCCGCCGUAA